CUCGUCGGGGUGGAUUAGUGGCGACGGGUGAGUAACACGUGAGCAACCUGCCCUUGACUCUGGGAUAAGCCUGGGAAACUGGGUCUAAUACCGGAUAGUACCCCUUGCCGCAUGGUGGGGGGUGGAAAGCCUUGUGCGGUCUUGGAUGGGCUCGCGGCCUAUCAGCUUGUUGGUGGGGUGAUGGCCUACCAAGGCGACGACGGGUAGCCGGCCUGAGAGGGUGACCGGCCACACUGGGACUGAGACACGGCCCAGACUCCUACGGGAGGCAGCAGUGGGGAAUAUUGCACAAUGGGCGGAAGCCUGAUGCAGCGACGCCGCGUGGGGGAUGACGGCCUUCGGGUUGUAAACCCCUUUCAGUAGGGAAGAAGCGCAAGUGACGGUACCUGCAGAAGAAGCGCCGGCUAACUACGUGCCAGCAGCCGCGGUAAUACGUAGGGCGCGAGCGUUAUCCGGAAUUAUUGGGCGUAAAGAGCUCGUAGGCGGUUUGUCGCGUCUGCUGUGAAAGCCCGGGGCUCAACCCCGGGUCUGCAGUGGGUACGGGCAGGCUGGAGUGCAGUAGGGGAGACUGGAAUUCCUGGUGUAGCGGUGAAAUGCGCAGAUAUCAGGAGGAACACCGAUGGCGAAGGCAGGUCUCUGGGCUGUAACUGACGCUGAGGAGCGAAAGCAUGGGGAGCGAACAGGAUUAGAUACCCUGGUAGUCCAUGCCGUAAACGUUGGGCACUAGGUGUGGGGGCCAUUCCACGGUUUCCGCGCCGCAGCUAACGCAUUAAGUGCCCCGCCUGGGGAGUACGGCCGCAAGGCUAAAACUCAAAGGAAUUGACGGGGGCCCGCMCAAGCGGCGGASCAUGCGGAUUAAUUCGAUGCAACGCGAAGAACCUUACCAAGGCUUGACAUGUGCCGGACCGUCCCAGAGAUGGGGCUUCCCUUCGGGGCCGGUUCACAGGUGGUGCAUGGUKGUCGUCAGCUCGUGUCGUGAGAUGUUGGGUUAAGUCCCGCAACGAGCGCAACCCUCGUUCCAUGUUGCCAGCACUUCGGGUGGGGACUCAUGGGAGACUGCCGGGGUCAACUCGGAGGAAGGUGGGGACGACGUCAAAUCAUCAUGCCCCUUAUGUCUUGGGCUUCACGCAUGCUACAAUGGCCGGUACAAAGGGUUGCGAUACUGUGAGGUGGAGCCAAUCCCAGAAAGCCGGUCUCAGUUCGGAUUGGGGUCUGCAACUCGACCCCAUGAAGUCGGAGUCGCUAGUAAUCGCAGAUCAGCAACGCGCCGUGCCG
rnacentral:rRNA from 1 species